GAUGAACGCUGACAGAAUGCUUAACACAUGCAAGUCAACUUGAAUUUGGGUUUUUAACUUAGGUUUGGGUGGCGGACGGGUGAGUAACGCGUAAAGAACUUGCCUCACAGCUAGGGACAACAUUUGGAAACGAAUGCUAAUACCUAAUAUUAUGAUAAUAGGGCAUCCUAUAAUUAUGAAAGCUAUAAGCGCUGUGAGAGCGCUUUGCGUCCCAUUAGCUAGUUGGAGAGGUAACGGCUCACCAAGGCGAUGAUGGGUAGCCGGCCUGAGAGGGUGAUCGGCCACAAGGGGACUGAGACACGGCCCUUACUCCUACGGGAGGCAGCAGUGGGGAAUAUUGGACAAUGGACCGAGAGUCUGAUCCAGCAAUUCUGUGUGCACGAUGAAGUUUUUCGGAAUGUAAAGUGCUUUCAGUUGGGAAGAAACAAAUGACGGUACCAACAGAAGAAGUGACGGCUAAAUACGUG
rnacentral:rRNA from 1 species